GGCUGGUCCCAGUGCAGUGGUGUUUACAACUAAUUGAUCACAAUCGGUGAAAGAUUCCUUUGUUUGUUCCUUCUCUACUCCCACUGCUUUACUUGACUAGCCGAAA
ensembl:misc_RNA Y_RNA Y RNA